rnacentral:rRNA from 1 species
AUUGAACGCUGGCGGCAUGCCUUACACAUGCAAGUCGAACGGCAGCACGGGAGCAAUCCUGGUGGCGAGUGGCGAACGGGUGAGUAAUAUAUCGGAACGUGCCCAGUAGUGGGGGAUAGCCCGGCGAAAGCCGGAUUAAUACCGCAUACGACCUGAGGGUGAAAGCGGGGGAUCGCAAGACCUCGCGCUAUUGGAGCGGCCGAUAUCAGAUUAGCUAGUUGGUGGGGUAAAGGCCUACCAAGGCUACGAUCUGUAGUUGGUCUGAGAGGACGACCAGCCACACUGGGACUGAGACACGGCCCAGACUCCUACGGGAGGCAGCAGUGGGGAAUUUUGGACAAUGGGCGCAAGCCUGAUCCAGCCAUUCCGCGUGCAGGAUGAAGGCCUCGGUUGUAACUGCUUUGUACGGAACGAAACGGCGAGCUCUAAUACAGUUUGCUAAUGACGGUACCGUAAGAAUAAGCACCGGCUAACUACGUGCCAGCAGCCGC